rnacentral:rRNA from 1 species
UAGUACUUUUAUCCUGCAUGGGAUGUGAGUUAAAUGUUCAAGGUAUCGGAUGGGCAUGCGUCCUAUUAGUUAGUUGGCGGGGUAACAGCCCACCAAGACGAUGAUAGGUAGGGGUUCUGAGAGGAAGGUCCCCCACAUUGGAACUGAGACACGGUCCAAACUCCUACGGGAGGCAGCAGUGAGGAAUAUUGGUCAAUGGACGAGAGUCUGAACCAGCCAAGUCGCGUGAGGGAAGACUGCCCUAUGGGUUGUAAACCUCUUUUAUAAGGGAAGAAUAAGUUCUACGUGUAGAAUGAUGCCUGUACCUUAUGAAUAAGCAUCGGCUAACUCCGUGCCAGCAGCCGCGGUAAUACGGAGGAUGCGAGCGUUAUCCGGAUUUAUUGGGUUUAAAGGGUGCGUAGGCGGUUUAUUAAGUUAGUGGUUAAAUAUUUGAGCUAAACUCAAUUUGCCAUUAAUACUGGUAAACUGGAGUACAGACGAGGUAGGCGGAAUAAGUUAAGUAGCGGUGAAAUGCAUAGAUAUAACUUAGAACUCCGAUAGCGAAGGCAGCUUACCAGACUGUAACUGACGCUGAUGCACGAGAGCGUGGGUAGCGAACAGGAUUAGAUACCCUGGUAGUCCACGCCGUAAACGAUGGAUCACUGGUUCUGUGCGAUAUAUUGUACGGGAUUAAGCGAAAGUAUUAAGUGAGCCACCUGGGGAGUACGUCGGCAACGAUGAAACUCAAAGGAAUUGACGGGGGCCCGCACAAGCGGAGGAACAUGUGGUUUAAUUCGAUGAUACGCGAGGAACCUUACCCGGGUUUAAAUGGGAAAUGUCGUAUUUGGAAACAGAUAUUCUCUUCGGAGCGUUUUUCAAGGUGCUGCAUGGUUGUCGUCAGCUCGUGCCGUGAGGUGUCGGGUUAAGUCCCAUAACGAGCGCAACCCUUACCGUUAGUUGCUAGCAUGUAAUGAUGAGCACUCUAACGGGACUGCCACCGUAAGGUGAGAGGAAGGCGGGGAUGACGUCAAAUCAGCACGGCCCUUACACCCAGGGCUACACACGUGUUACAAUGGCCGGUACAGAGGGCCGCUACCAGGUGACUGGAUGCCAAUCUCAAAAGCCGGUCGUAGUUCGGAUUGGAGUCUGUAACCCGACUCCAUGAAGUUGGAUUCGCUAGUAAUCGCGCAUCAGCCAUGGCGCGGUGAAUACGUUCCCGGGCCUUGUACACACCGCCCGUCAAGCCAUG